rnacentral:rRNA from 1 species
UACGAAGGUGGCAAGCGUUGUUCGGAUUUACUGGGCGUACAGGGAGCGUAGGCGGUUGGGUAAGCCCUCUGUGAAAUCUCCGGGCCUAACCCGGAAAGGGCGGCGGGGACUGCCCGGCUAGAGGAUGGGAGAGGAGCGCGGAAUUCCCGGUGUAGCGGUGAAAUGCGUAGAGAUCGGGAGGAAGGCCGGUGGCGAAGGCGGCGCUCUGGAACAUUUCUGACGCUGAGGCUCGAAAGCGUGGGGAGCAAACAGG